GGGCCUAUAGCUCAGUUGGUUAGAGUAGCGGACUCAUAAUCCGUUGGUCCCUGGUUCGAGCCCAGGUGGGCCCACUA
rnacentral:tRNA from 1 species